rnacentral:lncRNA from 1 species
GCUGCAUUUAAGACAGAAACAUAAAGCAUACAAGGUAAUGUAAUCUUUUGAUAAAAAAGAGCAUUUUACAGAGGCCUUGACUAGGUUUAUGAUGACAAAGGACCUUGUCUGACCAUAAUGAUUUAAAGAAAUGAGCUUGAAAAAUUCUGAAAUCUAGUCAGUGUGCCUCACUAUAUAUUAUUGCUUAUAACUCUCAAUAGAAAAUAUUUGUUUAGAUGGGCAUAGUGGCACAUACUUGUAAUCCCAGCACUUGAGGCUGAGGUGAUGAUUACAAGCUCCAUGCCACCAUAUGUUGCAUACAAGAUAUUGUCUUCAUAAUGAAAGCAAAUAGUCAUUAUGGAAAAAAAAAUGAAAGCAAAUAAUCGUGAGGGAUGUGAGAACUUCUCAAACCUGGAAAAUACAGUAUUGCACUUUUCCAUAUUCUUCAAUAUUGUUUCAUAAAUGUUUUGAGAUAAUUUGUUUCUGCAUUUUGUAUUUUGUUGAAAGCAAAACAUGAAAUGUCCAUGGAUCACAAAAGACAUAGGCACCUGUUGAUAUGGAAAUAAGAAUGUGUAAAAGUGGAACUCCAAAGUCUUGAAAAAUGGAAUGAAUCAUUCUGGAUUUGUAAGUGCUAUCAAUCAGGAGGAAAGGGUAAUGUUUACAGAGGAUGUACAUUGUGGAAUGCGGAUUAUUAAAGGUAAACAUCUAGCGUUCCCUCAAAUGUACUGCAAGAAAAAGUAGCCUGGAUGACAUUAAAGGCAACAUAAAACAACAUGUAGAGUUGGGCUUGAUGAGGAACACUUACAUCAUCACCUGCCAAUAUUCUACUCAGCUACAUACCGAGUUUGAGGUCAGCCUGGAGUCUUAAGACCAAGUGUCAGAAGAAAACAAACAAACAAAAAAAAAACUGAACACCUUGCUACAAAAAAAAAUAACAGGAGUUAGAAGAAUGUAUAAUUAUUUUCAAAUUUUACAGUUCACAACUAAAAUUUUCUGGUUCUGAAAAUGUUAAUUAGAUUGUUUAUAUAAAAAUUACCAGAUCUAUCAAUGAACAGAGCAUAAGGAUUUUAGCUUAAGAUACAUGUAAUUUAACACUUGAAAUACCCAAUUUCUAUAGAAGUAUUGUUUGUUGUAUUUUAAUUGAAGAAAUGAACAAUUUACCUACAUGUAUACAUACAUGUUUUUCAUUCUUUCAGCUGAUAAUUACACGUAGGGAUUAUUUUCCUGAGAGUUAAUACUUUUGCAUUACAAUGCAUAUUAUUUUACAGUAAUAUUUGAAGAGUUUUCAAGUUAUUUAAAGUAAACAAUGUAUACAUUCAUGGAAAUUUCCUCGUAAGAACAACUACAAUGAAUGAACAAUUUAUGGAAAUGAAAAAGAUAUUCAGGAAGAAUGUUAUAGUUUGAACACUCCUAAAUAGAAAGGAGUAAGAACACUUCUGUCUGCCUUUGCAUUUUAUAAGGGCCUUUGCAAAUAAACAGAUAAACAAGAAGAAAACAAGAAAAAGACAAUUUUUCCCAGUACCAAUCUCAGGAGUGCUGGGUUUCCAUAUCCACCUUUGUACUCCUAGCAGCACUUAUGGUUUAUGAACAUUUUUUGAAGAAUUUUAAGACACUCUGGGAUUUUAUGAUUCAACAAAAAGUAAUGCAUUAGCCAAUGACCCAAAGGAGAAGACGAAAUUUAACGUGGUCCUGAUGUCAGACUUAUUAAACCUACCUUGAUAUUUACUUAUGAAGUCCAAGAAAAUUGACUUUACUAAAGUGUUGCAUGCAAGCUAUAGGUGAUCUGUGCUUUCAGGUGAUCACCAAAAAAAAGACAAUUAUAACCUUCAUAACUGAAAAAAUGUCUCAUGUGUGGUGUAAGUAGUCUUCACAAUCAUUAAAAUUGAAGCAAAUUGACGGAGACUAAUGGAUUCUUUGAAGACAAUUUUUUUGAGGCAUUUUCAUUGCUGCUGUUGGAUUAGCUCAAGAAAUAAAGACAAAACUACAUGGAUCAAAAUAGUAUGAUGGAAGUGACAUUGGCUUCAUCACAUUGUUUUCUUAAGUAUGAAGUGUUUCUCAUAACAAUCAUUUCAUGAUAAUUUUGAGGCUGAUUUGAAGUUAAUUAUAAUUGAUUAUGAACUUUUUAAAAGAAGUUUUCAUUUUGAUAUUCCUUUUCCAAUGGUUUAUGUAGCACAGCCUGAACUUUGAACUCACACAACUUCCUGAUUGGUGAAAUUAUAGAAAUUUAACCAUGUGCUAAGUUCACAGUAGUAUAUGAAGCUUUAUUAUUUCAUAUUAAGUUCCUCCUAAUUUUAACAUACUGUGUUAACCAAAGUUUAUGGAGUUCUCUAGUACUAUUUGGAACAUUUUUCAUACAUAUUUGUAAUUGCCUCUCAUGAGUUUAGGUAAUAGCUUUACAUUUUCUACAUAGCAAGUAUGUUCAUAUGGAAAUAUGAAUCUUACAAAUAGUUCAAAUAAUUUCUAUUGCUUUGAAGUAACAUGCCAAAGUAUAUCAAAUCUACAUUUUGAGCAAAUGACUUAAGAAUUAAUGGAUUUGACCAUUAUUUAGUUAAUAGUACAUUUAUUGUGGUUACUGGUAAUAUAAUAUUGUAACAUACUAUUUAUUUAAUAUUAAAUCAUCAUGCUAUUCAUUUUUAUGUGUUCUGUUUGAGUUUCCAUGCUGAGUAUCUGUUACUUGUUUAUAAGCUCAUUUGUAAUGAGUGUGUAAGCAACUCAUCAUGUGUGUCAAAUGAAAUAUUAUGUGUUUGUAUUUACUUUGUUUUAAUGUUAGGAUGUAUAUAAAUUAUACAUUGAAAUACAAUCAUUUCUCUCAUGUG